GCUGACUUCCGCUUCCGGGUGAAAGUGCGGGCCGGGGCCUGCUGGUGGGGAGGCGGUUGCUAGGAGCCGCGGUUGCUAGGGGCGGCCUAGGCCGGCCGUGGGGAAGCAGCAUGGCGGGGAGCCGGCUGGAGAAGCUGGGAUCUGUGUUCACCCGGACGCGGGACCUGCUGCGUUCCAGGGUGCUGGCCGAGGCUCAGAAGCCCUUGUGGUUCGAUGUGUAUGCCGCUUUCCCUCCACUGAGGGAGCCCGUCUACCGGGAGCCCCGUCAGCGCUAUGGCAAAGUGAAGGAUGUCAUCCCUCCCAUUCUGUACCAAGAGGAUGAGAUCCGAGCGGCAUUUUAUGAAGCAUAUGGGAAUGGUCCAAAAGCCUUUGAACUGUCACGAUUAAACUUUAAAUCCACCUGCCAGAGGUUUGUUGAGAAAUUCAAUGAACUGCAGAAAGAAGGAAAAAUUGAGCCGGAAAAAUUGUUUGAAGAAACAGGAAAGCAGCUUUUAGCAGAGGGGAUCAUUCUACGAAGAAAAGGAACAGCAAAUGCACACGCUGGAAGAUUAAAUACCAUCCAUGCUAUCCCAUGGUGAGGUCAGUGGAAGUAAGAAUUACAGGAGCAGUCCUAGAUUUGGGGCAGCCAAAACAAUUCACCAGCUCUGCUGAACACCAGCUGAUCAGGCCUUGCCAGCUCCACGUUUUACAGAGAGGGUCAACACCGGCAGAUCUUUGACGGUUAGGAGGGCUAGGCCUACGAGCUGGUCAUUUUACACUCAUUUGCCAGGAAAGUGGUUGUGGCGGCAGAGGCAGCUCUCUGAGGAACUGUCAACCCAAGGAAAACUGGAGUCUGAGGCUUCUGUAUGCGUGAUAUCCCCACCUGGUAUGAGAACACCAAGCAAUAAUGCUGUAUCCUCCACCUUCUUAAUCUCUGCUGAACCUCCAAGAAAGCUCCUAUUGUCUGGUUGAGGAUUGUCAGAAUGAUUGAUGUAUUCUUGCAGGAUGGAGAUAAUAUAGUGCUCUAGCUCUGGAAGGCAAGGGCUUCACUCUGGGGAUAGCAACAGAUGAUUCUCCGCAGCGUAACAAUGGAUGUCAUGUGAUAGUCAAAGGACCAUGAAACCCAAGAAAUCCUGAUCAAAAGAGUGUUCUGUCAGAUCCAUGAAUAACGUACCUACCACUGUCUGGGUUCAUGGUGCUAUCCAUUUGACAAGAAAUUAGCAAGAAAUAGAUUCAAGUCUUGGACACCAGCCUUCAUCCUGUUGGAUCCUUAUCUGCAGCUAAUUACAGUUCACUGCACUAGAGUGCCAUUAAGGGGCUGAUGUGUUGACUGCUUUCCAGAGACAAGCCUAUCCUGCAUCCAGCAGUGAGCUGACCUUCAGCAUCAAAAACUCAGAGUUGAGCUCAUCUAGUUAGCAGACUGAAUACUGCCUGCCUUCCAGGUGGCCCAAAUGCUCUUAUAAUUCUCAACAUCCUGCUGCCGCUCAUUACUGGAGUAUUGGUACCUGCUCUUGGCAACAAUACAGCCAAACUACCUGGAAGAAAAGGGUGCAUGGAACGCAAUGGCAGCAUCUAGCAUGGACAUAUAAUUUCAACCACAACCUUCACCCAUUCUGCUUAUCCAUGAUGAGACAACUGAGGUACAGAGGUGAUGUCCAAGGUCAGACACCACAAGGCAGUGGCUGUACCAGAUCUCCUGAGUCCCAGUGCGCUGCACUAGAACACACUGCCCCAUCAGGCUUUCAGGUACUGGCCCUUGUUGGAAACAGGAGACUGGAUUAGUCAUUGGAUCUGCCAAGCACAGCAGAAAAACAUACAAUCAGCAGUUGCCCACCUACUUCUAAUGUGUAUGAAGAGUAUGGACAUGUUAAGAAAGUCCUCUGCAUGUGGAGAACCACUAUAUUAGCAGACCCUUGUAAGCUGGAGCAGUGGAGCCUGCCCACAGAUGGAAGAGGAAACCAUAGUGAGAUAAGUGGAAGUAUAUUUUGGAAGGCACUGUCACAAUUACAAAUUUCAAACUCAAUAGUCCUUGAGAAAUUAAUAAUACGGACAGUCUCCCCCAAUCUAUUUUAGUUAGUAAUUAGCAGUGUUAACAGCUAUUUCUGUUUUUAAGUCAUUAAUGCUUGCACUUGUAACACUGGCCAGUAAAUAAUGGUUACAGGUUGAUGUGCUGUGGUAGGCUUAAGAUGAUUGCAAUAUAUUAAUUUUGUUAACAUUUCCUGUCUUGCGGUAUUAUUAGUUCAAAUUACUGUUUCUUUAAAAAUCCCCAACAUGCUUUGAACUCCACAGCUUGUCUUUAUGAAGGAUAUAGACACAACAAUAGUGAAAAUAUUAUUAAAUUACAUAUUAUUAUUAUUAAAAUAUAAACCAAUUACUGUGUGUGUCUGUGUGUAUACACACACUGUAACGUUACCAAAAAUAACUAGGAUUAAAAAUGAGUGCUUAUACAUUUUACUCUCCCCAUAAAAAUAAUAUUUUGUGGACCAAAUUAGUUCAGGAAACAUUCUUAAAAAUUUAAAAUACACAUUUAUGCAGGAGAUACACAUGAGCAUUUCUUGUCAUACAUUAAAGGAGAUCAUAACAUAGUAAUAGUUAUAAGCUGAUCAAUGUACUAUCUCUAUUAGAUACAAAAAUCAUGCAGCCCAGCAUCAAUGGGCAUUUUGUGGGGUGAUCAUGGCUUGAUGGAUAAGGGGUGUUGUGUGUGUGUGCGGGAUUGUUUUUCUAGGCAUGUUUUUUUUGCAUCUAUUGGUAGAUACACAUACAUACACAUUUAAGUACCCUCCACACGUAUUGUAACAAUCCCACUCCCCUCUGUAAUUAUGAUUUUAAUUCCAUAGAUUUAUUUGAAAUUUAAAAUGUGACUGAUCAGAUUUAUUCCUAGCUAAGAAUCAAUAGAAAUAAAAUUUGACAUUUAAAUUUAUUUUGUAUCCGUAUAGAAAAAUGUAAACUACAAAGGUAAACACAUGGUUUAAUAGGUAUAACUUUUGUUUUGUAUUGACUGACUUUUUAAUUUACACUAUUAGAGGUAUAAGCAUAUUCAUUUGCAAAAAUGAAUAUGCCAAAAGGCCAAACAAUUUUUUUUUAAACAUGUAAUUAACUCAAGCUCAGUUAAAAGGGUAGGAAACUGGCAGUGAUUCAAAUACUAAGGUAAUGUCUAAUUUAAUUUGCUUAGGUUUAAUUUUUUAAUCUAGAUAAUUGCUCUAUGGUUACUAGUAACAAUGUUAUCUCAUAGCUGUAAUAUUUGGUACAGUACUUAAUUAUGAAUUAGGGUUUUCUUUGCAAUAAAGCAACGGUGCUCACUUAUUUUUAGAAAACUGCAUUCAUAACAAAUCCGUAAUCCUCACAGCAAUGCUGCCUACUGAUACUUUUUCAUUUGUUUCCCCAAAAGACUUCUGGAAUCAUCAUUUAUUCUUUUGGGUUUUAAAGAAUGCCAGCAACUGCUCUAAGCUUAAUGAAAGUAAAAACAUUAACUUUGUUGGGUUCUAGCUCCUGAUUCUCUUCCAGUUUCCAACCCACAAGAUUGAUUUUAAAAUAAACAAUUGCAAAAAGGAAUGAUUAAAGGCCAAGGAAAAGAGAAAGUGAAGAGCCAAAGGUGUUUUCUUAAUUUAAAAUAUAUAUGGGAAAUAGUAGCUUAGCAUAACAUACAAAUGGUAUAUAUUGUAAUACCUCAAAGUGAGAUGGCAACCAACCAUGUGUAACGUUUCAAUGGUAUCCAUUUGUAAAAGCCGUUGCAAUCAAAGGUCCCUAAAAUUGUACAAUUAUUAAGGUCAUCAGUGUUCUAUACAUGGGAACAGAUUAUUAUUAAUUUUUUGGCAAGUAAUUAUCAAAGGACUUGAAAGACUGUGUUGCCAGCAUGAAUAUGUGUUUAAGAAAGCUGUUCUCUGGUCACCACUGACUUGAUGUGUUGAAUUCUAAUCUUACGUUUCCAAGACACUAAUCUUCUCACACAUCCCCCUCUAAAUUUUGGGUUUUUUAAACAUUAGGAUUAGUAAAUGGACAAUGUUAAAAAAAUAAAGAAUAAAAAAGACCCCCAUGUUCUCAAUAAGGUUAUGCGGGGAGAGGAGGAAUUAGGAGGCUGCCAAUCUGCACAUCAGAGAGAAAAUACUUCCUUAAAAAAAUGAUAGUACAGACAAAACAAGAUGCCAAAUGUUGUAUUAUUAUUAUUAUUUGACAAUCAGGACAUUGCAGAGGUCAAAGUGCACAAGUUUUCAAGAACAAACAGGUCUUUUUCUUUAGGCGAAAAGUGGAAAUGAGGGGUGUUGUAAGUGGUGAUAGAUGGCAGUUUAAAUUGAUGUAGCUCUUGGCAGAAUAAUAAUAAUCCACAUUUCAGAGCACCACUGAUCCAAUGAGAUUGUCAAGUUACUUAAGUGACUUUACGAUGGGAAUGGAAUUUAACAAGAAUUCACAAUAUUAGGGCACCACUAGAAGGCUGCAAAAAGGUAGCUGAUUUCCCAUUUCAAAGACUGACAGCCACUAAAGAGAUUCAAACACAUUCAUGCUAACGCACAGAGAUUUGGAGAGCGAGGACCUCUGUCUCCAAAACUGCACAAAAUAAGUUUCAGCUCCAUACAGUAGGACUGAUUUCACAAGCAGAAAAGAGGCCAAGAAACACCUGGCGACGCAACCUUCAGGCUGAUAGCAAGAAAAUGGGCUAUACCUGGAACCAGAUAGAGCGAAUGGCCCAGGACAGAGGACUCUGGAGAUCUGUGGUUGGUGGCCCAUACCCCGACUGGGGUGACGGGCGUGAGUGAGUGAGUGAUGUGUUUUGACUUAGUUGUGUGUCUUGUUACAAACCAACUGGCUGUGCUCUGAUCAUUCACUGUGUCUAGUAAAUUUUCACCUGUACCUGAA